ACUCCUUUCAAUCUCUGUGCCGAUUUAUCAGAUUCACUUUUGUCUUUCUCAUCUGAAGAAAGAUGUUAUUCACAACUCAAUUCUUCAACUGUUUAUCUUCCUCCACCUCUCUCUUUCUCUCUCCCUAUCUCAUAAAAGCCCUUCUUCGCCGCAACAGACGUGGUCCUUGAAACCGUUGCAAUUCCCUUCCCUUUUCACCCUAUAGAAGCACAUCAAGCAAUGGCUUCCAGAACUGCAAAAUCCACCUAGAGAAAUAAAUCUACAGUCUCAUUAACCAAAGAAAUCUACCGAGUUGCUGAUCACUCUCGAAUCAUUUGUUUCACUCACAUCUCUGACCUCCCCGAGUUGGAAGACACCCGUCUGUUCAUCGACGCAGAUGGAUUCAAUUCCACUUAUUCAAAGAGUUUGAAGUUAAUCUUGUGCGCAAAGGCGAUCUCUAUUUGGUUCUGAUUUCCUCUUAUCGAUUCUCUGAGUUUAGGGUUUUAAUCGAUUCGUUUGAUUAAUUCAUAAUGCUCAUGGUUGAAAAUUGGGAAAAAUGAGUUUGCCUGGUGCAAUUUUCUUUUGCUGCAGUUAAUAAACCACAAAACAUAUGUUAAAUCAAGGUUAAAAUGUGAUUGGAACAGAUGGAGGCAGCAAGCUACUCUUGGAAGAACAGACAACCAAUGUAGUUUUUUUCAGAUUACAUCUCAUCUGAGAAAUGAGAAUAUCACAGAUGUUGAUGAUCAUCUUCAUGAUAUCUCCAAGUAAUUAAGCUAAAUACACAUGAACCAAAAAAAACUACAACAUUUGUGUAGACGAUUGUAGCAUCUGACUGUAAUUGCAGGGACUGGCUAUACCCUGAAGUUUUAACUGUAUACAGGACAUGUGUGGUAUUCUAGGUUACAUACUACAAGAUAUGAUAAGAGGAAGAACAGUUCGAUGCAACAGUUUAGGAUGGCAUUGUCAUAUGAUCCAUUGUGUUGGGAAACAUAUGGAGAAAUUUGUAGUUUACGUGUCUUUGAGGAAUCCUUCCAUAGUUUUCGGCAAUGUAGCUUCCCAGCUUCUCAGAAAACUUUGGUUUCACAAAGAAUAAACUUCUCAGAAGGAGAAACCAUGGACCAGCUUUGAUCGGCAAACAUAACAUGUUCCAGGAGAGUACCAACAUGAUCUGAUAUUAAAGCAGCUUAGAGCAAAGAUUCCGCCAAAUACUGACAAGCAACGUGACCGUAUUUCUCAUACACAUGUGAAAUAUCUUAAAGUUGAGCUAGAAUGAAAGCGUAUUAGGUAAUGUUACUAUUUUUAAAAUUCUCAGUUAUCAUGAUGUUGUACGAGUAGGACUAUUAUAUUUUCUUCAUGAUAUAAUGAUAAAGUUCCUUACAUGUUUCCUUAUCUCUAAGUAUCUAUAUCGUUUACGUAUUGGAUGCUCUACUGCCUACGCUCUAUAAGAAUAUGUGCCGUCCAAAAUGGGAGGGAUUGAUGUCCGUACAUGGAGUCUUAAAAAAAUUUCCCCAGGAGAAUCUGAGCAUCACAAGAGUGUUUAAAUAGCAACAAGGAGAAAGAUUCUUAUGUAGCAGUCAUAUGGAGAGCGCCAAAAACUGUUUCGAUGAGAUAGCAGUGAAGGACGUUCAUAUCUGGACUGCUCUCAUCUCCGGUUUCAGGUACCAUGCACCAUCAGAAGCUGGUGCAGAUAUUCUUUUGGAUUCUUUGUCAAUGGGAGGGCUUACUGCUGCGCAAAACAGCUUAUUGGAUGGAGACUUACUUAUCUAUUCACGAGAAUAAUGCUUCAAUAGCCACCAGCGAAACAUUUUCAUCAACUUCUCCCUUUGCUUCUACUUCAAUGAUGGAUUUAUAGGACGUAUUUUCUCCCCCACCCCAAAAAGGGGACAAGGGUUCAACAUUUCCGUCCAUUUUUGCAUUGGAGAGCAGCACUUAACAAAGAUAAUGUGCCAUUUGAAUUGCGAGAUACCAUUACGAGCUUAAUAUAUACGAGUGUUAUUUUGAGAAAUAACUCGAAUUUCAAAUUAUUCGGUUGCUUUCACAGAUCUUACUCUAGAUGUGUCCACUUUCUUUUACAGGCUGCAAUUCCAAAAGUCAGGUCCCAAAUU